UACGUAGGGUCCAAGCGUUGUCCGGAUUUAUUGGGCGUAAAGAGCUCGUAGGCGGCUUGUCGCGUCGUGUGUGAAAUCUCAGGGCUCAACUCUGACAUUGCAUACGAUACGGGCAGGCUUGAGUUCGGUAGGGGAGACUGGAAUUCCUGGUGUAGCGGUGAAAUGCGCAGAUAUCAGGAAGAACACCAGCGGCGAAGGCGGCACUCUGGGCCGGUACUGACGCUGAGGUGCGAAAGGCGUGGGGAGCAAACAGG
rnacentral:rRNA from 1 species